rnacentral:lncRNA from 1 species
GGCUCAUAGCUGUGGCUCACAUGGGGGAGAUACUUUGUUGUUUAAAAUCCAUUCUAGAUCUCUGGUCCAUGGCAUGGUGCCACCCCUGUUCAGGGUGAGUCUUCUGUCCUCAGUUAAAGCUCCCUGGAAAUGCUCUCACAGACUUCCAAGGGAGUCCAUAUCUAGUCAAAGUGACAGUGACCAGGGUUGGUCAUCCCUUACCAACCUGGCACAUACAUCCCCUUACAUCACAGUCGCCUGCCCUGUCCCUAGGCCUUCUUGGCCAUCUCAAAAUGCAAGGUGCAUUUGGUCUGUCUCUGAAUGUGCUCAAAAUAAUUUUAUUUUAUUUGUGUGUAGGGGCAGGAGGUAAAGCUAUGAGGUAUAUGUGGAUCUUGGAGUACGGCUUGUAAGAGUUGUUUUUUUUCCCCACCAAGUGGUUGUUGGGGAUCAAACUCACUGGGGUCAGGCUUAGCAGCAGGCACCUGCAUACACCAAGCCCUCUCACCAGCCCCUCAAAUGCCCAACAUUGUUCAGAAGCCUCUACUGAGGCUCCAGCACCCCCUUAACUGUAAACUCUGUAAAAUAAUAUAAAGGAAGUUAUAAACUUUCAAUAUGUAUGAGUCCAGCUUGGCUGCACAGUGAGUGAGACCAACAACAACCAACCUUUUAACUUCCAAGGGCACAGGUUAAAAUAGGAAAGAAUGAGUGCAUCAAAAGAAAAAAUCAGACCAAAGCUGACAGGAGUCUGCUGGGAAAUACCAAAUCCUGAAAUGUGGCAUUCCAAACCUGGAGCUCUUGGCCCAGCAUCUGGGCCUCAACAGUCUACCUGCUGCACAUGCAGCCUCUCUCAUGGGGUAGUUCUGCUCACCCAUGCCUUUCUUGGGAAAACAUACCAUGGUCCUGGUGUUUUCAAAAUUCUGAGGUCCUGGGCUGACAAGAUGGCUCAGUGAGUGAAGGCAUUUGCUGCCAAGUCGGAGGAGGUGAAUUAGAUCCCCAAGGCUUACGUGGUGGAAGGAGAGGACUGACUCCCACAGGUUCUUAUCUGACCUCCACACUUGUGCUUUGGCAGGCACGUCAUUGUACACACAUAUAUGCUGAAUAAAUAAAUGUAAUAAAAAAGUAAACUCCUGGGGUUUCCAUGGCAAUACAGAUCUCACCUCUACAGCUUCCCACAGUGGUCUCGCCAACGUCUUCUUCCAGGAAUCUGAUCACACUACACACUGCCUGGCCUUCUGGUCUCUAAUAUACCAACAAAACCAGGUCCACAUGAAUGCUGCUACCAGUCAGGAUGAUCAUCAUGGCGUCUGCUUGUGUGUGCCGCUGAGGUAGUCCCUGGGUGCCCACUGGGAGCUAGGAAGCCAUGUGCUGUCUCCUUUCCACUCAAUUUGCACUGUUCUAGUCAGUGUCUUUCUUCUAGGAGGCCUAGCCCUCUGGACCCAGAGCAAAGGCCCUUCUUCUGUAAAAUGUGGCUGAUUGUUCUAGCACACAUGGGCUGGCCCAGCCUCCUCCCCAGGAAUGAGCAGUUUCAGUUUCCCAGCCAGGUGAAGUUGGUUUCUUUUGAGUCUUAUGAGUCCUCUGGUUCCACUGCCAUCCAGCAGAGAGGGUCUAUUUUGGCUCAUGGUCUGAGGAGCAGCUCUGGACUGUGACUCACAUUUGGGCAGAUGAGCAGAACAAACAUGCAGCUGGAUUUCUCAGUCUCCUCUUUUUAUUCAAGUCAGGCCCCUGGACACAGUCUUCUUAGACAAGCAUCUCCUAUGCAACUCAUAGCGGGUCAAGCCCACAAAGACACUUAACCACCAUGUUCACAUUGCUUUUUCUUUCUUUUCUUUUCAUUUUUUUUGUUUUGUUUUAGAUAAGUUUUUUUGUUUGGGUUUAUUUGUUUGCUCUGAGAUAGAAUCUAUGUAAUACUGGUUGUCUUGGAACUCAUUAUGUGGGUCAGACAGAGAUCUCCUGCCUCUGCCUCUAGAGUGCUGGGACUAAAGACCAUCACAACCAGUUAACUUGUUUUCAUAUAACAGUUGUCCUCCCAGCACUCAAGGCUAUCCUGCACUAUACAGUGAGUUUCAUGAUAGCCUGGGCUACAGCAUGAUACCCUGUCUGGAAAAAAUAAAAAAUAUAAC